rnacentral:rRNA from 1 species
CAGCCGCCGCGGGAAUACAGAGGGUGCAAGCGUUAAUCGGAAUUACUGGGCGUAAAGCGCGCGUAGGUGGUUCGCCAAGUUGGAUGUGAAAUCCCCGGGCUCAACCUGGGAACUGCAUCCAAAACUGGCGAGCUAGAGUAUGGUAGAGGGUGGUGGAAUUUCCUGUGUAGCGGUGAAAUGCGUAGAUAUAGGAAGGAACAUCAGUGGCGAAGGCGACCACCUGGACUGAUACUGACACUGAGGUGCGAAAGCGUGGGGAGCAAACAGGAUUAGAUACCCGGGUAGUCCCUGUCUCUUAUAA